UUUGCCGUCAUAGAGCACCUGAGGUGGAAAGAGAGCUAGCAAGUGGGUGGACACAGCCCACAGCAGGGAAAGGCCGGGGACAGAGACCACCCUUGCAUCAGGGGCAGCUGCAAUCUCAUCAUCAGACCGGCGUGAUCAAGAGGCCCGAGAGACAGUCACUGCCGGGCUGGGACCGAUUCACAAAGACCCGGCACUGGCCAGUAGCACCGACCCACAGAGAAACUGUCCAGAACACCGAGUGUGAGAUCUCUGAGAAAUAUCUCCCCUCUAUUACUACACUGCCUAAAUUAAUGGGAGCCGCUCUGCAAAAAGCUCAGAUAUUGACGUGCCCCUUAAAAAGAUCCAGGCCACGGGCCAGUGAUGUGGUGGCUAAGAAGGCUGGACCCCACGUGGCAGACGGCGCAGUGCAAACCCCGAAUCUGGCUUGAAAACCUCGGCAAGCUCAUGAGUGUGUGCCCAGUAUCCAGGGGAGCAGGGGUUGUGGGGCCACUCUCCACCGAGUAUUUCUCACGCUCUCUCCUCUUCCUCCCUGUUUGUCUCCGGGGAGUGCAUGCUCCCCACAGCAAGAAUGAAAGUUCGUUCCAGGCUAUGAGCCAAGUGCCUGGGCUCAGCAGAGAACAAGGCAGGCCAGAGCCUGCCUGCCCGGAGCUGGAAGGGACCCACGGACGCGGCGAGCAGAGAGUGCAUGGGGGCCAGGGUACGGAGUGCUGUGGGGCUGAGCGUGAGCUCGUGUGGGGGCGUGAGCCAGGCUCACAGUCGACCUUGUGUUGUGUCUGAAUUUUAGGGAAGUCUUAGGAAGGCACGGGAAGGAAGGCUCCACAACAGGAGGCUCUGCUGCUGAGAGGUGUGGCCCGGCUGCAAUGCUACGGGCGGAGGGUGCAUGGGGACAGGUUUUGGUCCCAGCCCCUGAACGGGAGCAGUGGUGCCAGCCUGGGGUCCUGGCCAGUGGGCUGAGUGCCACAGCCUGCAUGGUCCUGUCAACGGUGCCAGCUGGGCACAGAGGGCGAGGCUAUGGCCCACAUGCCACUACGAAGCCGAGUCUAGAUGCGGUGCUGGACACGUUUGCCAUGUGUGGGCAGAACCCUGAGAGGAGAAAUCGCGCAGAAGCUAUGGGAAGUGGGCAUGGGUGUGCUUCGUCUCUCCUCCUGCUCGUCCUGUCUCCAGCAAGCACAGGCUUCACAGGUGUGAAAAGGCAAAUAUGAAGGGGCGGUUGCUGACACGUGUGCAUGCAGUACGGGAGUGCUGGGGCAGUUGCUGAUACACGUGUGCAUGCAGUACAGGAGUGCUAGGUGGUUGCUGACACGUGUGCAUGCAGUACAGGAGUGCUGGGCGGUUGCUGACACACGUGUGCAUGCAGUACGCGAGUGCUGGGGCGGUUGCUGACACGUGUGCAUGCAGUACAGGAGUGCUGGGCGGUUGCUGACACACGUGUGCAUGCAGUACGCGAGUGCUGGGGCGGUUGCUGACACGUGUGCAUGCAGUACAGGAGUGCUGGGCGGUUGCUGACACACGUGUGCAUGCAGUACGCGAGUGCUGGGGCGGUUGCUGACACGUGUGCAUGCAGUACGUGAGUACUGGGUGGUUGCUGACACAUGUGUGCAUGCAGUAUGGGAGUACUGGGCGGUUGCUGACACAUGUGUGCAUGCAGUACGGGAGUGCUGGGCGGUUGCUGACACGUGUGCAUGCAGUACAGGAGUGCUGGGCGGUUGCUGACACACGUGUGCAUGCAGUACGUGAGUACUGGGCGGUUGCUGACACAUGUGUGCAUGCAGUACGGGAGUGCUGGGCGGUUGC